rnacentral:rRNA from 1 species
AUUGAACGCUGGCGGCAGGCCUAACACAUGCAAGUCGAGCGAGCGGCGGACGGGUGAGUAAUGUCUGGGAAACUGCCUGAUGGAGGGGGAUAACUACUGGAAACGGUAGCUAAUACCGCAUACCAUCAGAUGUGCCCAGAUGGGAUUAGCUAGUAGGUGGGGUAAUGGCUCACCUAGGCGACGAUCCCUAGCUGGUCUGAGAGGAUGACCAGCCACAUGGGAACUGAGCACCGGCCCAGACCCCAACGGGAGGAAGCGUUGGGGAAGAUUGCACAAGGGGCGCAAGCCGGAGGCAGCCAGGCCGCGUGGGUGAAGAAGGCCUCCGGGUUGUAAAGCCCUUUCAGCGGGGAGGCGUUACCCGAAGAAGAAGCACCGGCUAACUCCGUGCCAGCAGCCGCGGUAAUAC